AUAAGCUGUCGAGCGUUUUGU
rnacentral:miRNA from 1 species